rnacentral:tRNA from 1 species
UGCGGGGGUGCCCGAGCUAGGUCAAAGGGGGUAGGCUCAGGCCCUACUGGCGAAGGCCUUCGCGGGUUCAAAUCCCGCCCCCGCAG